CUUUUACGUCGGCCUUCGCGAGCGUUUGGUCGGGUGGUAGGAACAAUGGCGCUGUCUUCAGUGGCACAGUGGAGCAGCUCUGAAGAUGCAAAGAUACACGAAAAAACUUCCAGAACAUCUGGGAGAAUAUUUAAUGGAAAAUCGCUUGGUUAAAACCUGACACUCUUAACAGGUAUGUGUUGUUUUAGUACUUUAUGAUUGAGCAUACCAUUUAAUCCACACCUAAACUAAAUCAAAUUUUUUUUGUCAGUGAACAGCGUUCUGAGUGUGGACGAGUAGCCAGUGAAGAUAAUGAAUGUCGAACGUGACUGACUAGCAGCUUCAUUUUGAAUGAGGGUCGCUGUCUGCCCAUUGAUAGAGGCCAGAUUGUCUUGGAAGUUCCAAAGUUGCAACGAUUUCUGGCUAGUGCCACGAGGUUUACUUGACUGUUGUGUGAAAAGCUGAUAAGAAAACCAUCCAGAAAAAAGCUCUUCGUUUUACAAACAUGAAAAUAAAACAUGUAAUUUUG
rnacentral:lncRNA from 1 species